GUAUGGGCAUGUCGGAUCCCUGCUCGGGCAGCGACGGCAUCUCCUCCACGCCUCUUCAGUUAUUGGCACGGGCACGUUCUCGGCCGAUGUCGGGUUUCCUGUGCUGAAUACCUAUCGUGAGGGCAUUAUGUCGGCUAAACGUUUCCCUCCCCGUGCUGCUGCUCCUUGUGGGUGAGCGGCGUGGGGUGGGCCAAAAAGCACCCGUCGUGUAUCGCACCGCGCACACCUUAGCGGGUGCUCCGGUUGACGAUCCACGGCGUGAUGCUCGGUCUCUCGGGUACGGUAGAUCACGUGGGUACGGGGCCUCUCGGCCUYCGAGCACCACAAACAAGCGUUCUACGCUUYGUGCGAACGACGGUCGGUCCGGUCUUUGGCCGUGCUCUCGUGGCUCGGUUCAAGUCGCGCCGACGUCGG
rnacentral:misc_RNA from 1 species